rnacentral:lncRNA from 1 species
AUGGUGGUGAACUCUGCUGCCUCCGGAACAGGACAAACUAGGCCUAAGGUGGGGCUGACUCCAUCAGCGGGCCAGGUUAUGGUGGGAGGAGCAGCUGAGGUGGCAACUCCAGCAACUCCGGCAUCAGGAGCGGGCGAGAACAGCCUCUUCUUGGGAGCCCGAGAGGAGGGAGGCUGCUUGGCGGGACGACGCUGCUUCCCAGUUCCCUGCUUUUCCGCCUCUAAAGCAGCCCUCACCGGGGUGUCCGUCCGGCCUUAGGGUAAGGCCGGACGAUGUCCGGGCUGAACUUAACAGCCUCUCCCUCAGGCCGGACAGCUUCGUCAGGCCCGGCAGCUCGAUCAGGUACAUCCAUGCCUGCCAAAGGACAAAUUUAAAAAAUACACACUUUUAAAUAAAUGUUUAUAAACUCACCCUCCUGAUCCUGGUUAAAUACCCUGAUGUGAGAGUUGUGGCCUGGUGGUCUAGGAGCUUCUCUGCCGUCCACUACCCUAUGGACUUUUUUAUGAACUUGGACUUAUGGGACUAUUUACUUAUCUAUUAUGAACUCUGUUUAAUCCUCUGUUGCUUCUGAUGAAGUGUUCCUACCUGAAGUGGCACCUGGAGAAGCGCUGACCUCGUCACCCGAAGCCUGGGGAGGAGGACGGUCUGUGGAAUAGGCUCCGGCGAAGUCCUUUUCCUCAAACGCAGAGGGGUUAAAAGGCCAGAUCCCUGGACUUGAGAACCCGGAGGUAAUGUUGUUCACUGUCGCAGCCUUUGGUAAGGCUUCAGCAACGAUGGAGGGCACAUCAUAAAUUGAGAUGUUUAUCCCUGGGUGUCUCCUCAUCCACCUGUCCGCCGCACUGUUUACGUACCCCUUUAGGGGGCCGAAGACACUAAUGUCCAUUGGCUGCAACCU